UGCUACAGAUGACGACCGGCGCACGGGUGCGUAACGCGUAUGAAACCUACCUUUUACAGGGGAAUAGCCCGGAGAAAUUUGGAUUAAUGCCCCAUGGUUAUANUUUACCGAUGGUAAAUUAUAUAAAGCUUCGGCGGUAAAAGAUGGUCAUGCGUGACAUUAGCUAGUUGGUAAGGUAACGGCUUACCAAGGCGACGAUGUCUAGGGGUUCUGAGAGGAAGGUCCCCCACACUGGUACUGAGACACGGACCAGACUCCUACGGGAGGCAGCAGUGAGGAAUAUUGGUCAAUGGCCGCAAGGCUGAACCAGCCAUGUCGCGUGCAGGAAGACGGCCCUAUGGGUUGUAAACUGCUUUUGUACGGGAAGAAACGUAUCUACGAGUAGAUAUUUGCCGGUACCGUACGAAUAAGCAUCGGCUAACUCCGUGCCAGCAGCCGCGGUAAUACGGAGGAUGCGAGCGUUAUUCCGGAUUUAUUGGGUUUAAA
rnacentral:rRNA from 1 species